GUGGGGUUGUUGCGCAGUUGGCUAGUGCGUAGGUCUCAUAGCUAUAUCCUGAGAUCGACAGUUCUAACCUCUCUCUCCCACA
rnacentral:tRNA from 1 species